GGCCGCGUGGCGCAACUGAAUAGCGCAUCAGAUUUCGGCUCUGAGGGUUGGGGGUUUGAAUCCCUUCGCGGUCAC
rnacentral:tRNA from 5 species